rnacentral:tRNA from 1 species
GCCCGGUUAGCUCAGUCGGUAGACCGUGAAACUCUUAUUCUCAAUGGUCGUGGGUUCGAAGCCCCACACUGGGCG